CUGUAAACUUAAUGCAAGCCAGCAACGAGAUGGAAGUUUAACAAGCUGACUCUGUUAUUUGACCUGUCCCAGUGCAGCAGAGGAGCCAGUGAAGAACAGCUGUGCUGUGCUCCACCUGGACCUGAUGACAUUUUGACGUCCAGAGCAUCCUGCCAUUCUGUAUGCACGUAAGAUCCUGACAAGAAAUUGUGCAACUUAUGCAAAAGUUAAAAAACAACCUGCCUUAGUCAGUGAUUUCACACUAUCCACAAUCACAAGAUAUAAGCGGUGAACCUUACAAUGUACAUAAUAUGCACAUUUUGCCACAUCCUGAAUUUGUGUGCAAACGCAAAAGUGCUUUCCAGUCAUAACAGCAUUUCUGCCAUAGCCAUGACCGACUAGGUUGUUAUGAUACUCCAGCCCAUGCUUUUCAAAGCAUUUUAUGAUCAAACUACUUAGUCCUGUGUCAUCCACAAUAACACUGCUAUCUGCUCCUAUCUAUAUUAUGUUGUUGAUUAUGUUUGAUGUGUCAUUCAUGCACAUAGAUUGAAUAAAAAAAUAAGUAUUGCAAAUGAUACUGAUUCAUAAUGUUUUAUUUAAGUUUGAAAAGGA